AUGGGGACCCCAAAGUGCCCUGUCCACAAAUGGGGGGGACCCCAAAGUGCCCCGUCCCCAAAUGGGGGGGACCCCAAAGUGCCCUGUCCUGAAAUAUGGGGACCCCAAAGUGCCCCGUCCCCAAAUGGGGGGGGACCCCAAAGUGCCCUGUCCUGAAAUAUGGGGACCCCAAAGUGCCCUGUCCCCAAGUGGGGGGACCCCAAAUUACCCCCUCCUGAAACAUGGGGACCUCAAAGUGCCCUGUCCUGAAACAUGGGGGGACCCCAAAUGGGGGGGACCCCAAAACCCCCCAUCCCGAAACAUGGGGACCCCAAAGUGCCCUGUCCCCGAAUGGGGGGGACCCCCGUGUCCCCGUGUCUCUGUGUCCCCGUGUCCCCAUGUCCCUGUGUUCCUGUGUCCCCAUGUCCCCGUGUCACGAUGUCCCCAUGUCCCCCUGUCUUUGUGUCCCCAUGUCCCCGUGUCCCCCUGUCUUUGUGUCCCCGUGUCCCUCUGUCUUUGUGUCCCCGUGUCCCCCUGUCUUUGUGUCCCC
rnacentral:lncRNA from 1 species